rnacentral:rRNA from 1 species
GAUGAACGCUAGCGAUAGGCUUAACACAUGCAAGUCGAGGGGCAGCAUGGUCUUAGCUUGCUAAGACUGAUGGCGACCGGCGCACGGGUGCGUAACGCGUAUGCAACUUGCCUCACAGAGGGGGAUAACCCGUCGAAAGACGGACUAAUACCGCGUACACUCUAUUUUGGGCAUCCAAGGUAGAGGAAAUGAAAUUCGCUGUGAGAUAGGCAUGCGUCCCAUUAGCUAGUUGGUGAGGUAACGGCUCACCAAGGCGACGAUGGGUAGGGGAACUGAGAGGUUGAACCCCCACACUGGUACUGAGACACGGACCAGACUCCUACGGGAGGCAGCAGUGAGGAAUAGUGGUCAAUGGGCGAGGGCCUGAACCAGCCAAGUCGCGUGAAGGAUGACUGUCUUAUGGAUUGUAAACUUCUUUUGUAGGGGAAUAAAGAGGGGCACGUGUGCCCCAGUGAAUGUACCCUACGAAUAAGCAUCGGCUAACUCCGUG